GCAGCCCAAAAAGAUGGAGGUAUUGUGAUAAAAGCUGCUAUUGUGAGAAAAUAACAUCUGAGAUUACUUUGUUAACCCAAAGUUUAAAUUUGCAUUGGUGGAGCCAGCAGAGAAGUAUCUGUCAGAAUCCCACAAGGAAAAGGACCAUGGCAUGGGAUGCAGUUUCCUUUCAAAUCAACUGUUGAAUUUAUUUCUGGCUGUGCUUAAGGAACUCAUGCUAACAGUCCAUUCAGAGGCUGAGAAACAAGGAAAGAGCAGCACACCAUAAACAAAGGUCAGGGGCAGACUGGUGCACUGUGCCCACAACCAGAGUUGCUGCUUGACACAAAUCCCACAACACUGGAGAUGGAAAUGGGAGAUGACUGGUGUUGGACCAAACCCCCUUUCUUCUGUUCAGCUUGCAUCUGCAAGAUGGGCUUCUCCCUGCACUACCACUUGCCCUUGCAAAGUGUUUGGUGAGGACAAAACACUUGCUGCUAGUGGUUGCAAAGCUAAUUCUUCACCAGGGGCUGGGACAGAGAGACCUGUCUGUCUUAUCCUAGGACUGAAAUGCAGUCCAGAAAGGAAGGAUCUGUAAUCACACUGCUGCAAAACAUCAAUAUCUGCCAGGCCACAAGAAGCUUCUGCUGCCUUGGACACCAAAUUAGAUCAAUUGGCCAUCUGGGGUGAACACAUGGAAGAACAUACAGAGAGCAGUGUGCAACAAUUAGUCUCCUAAGGGUUUCAGGAAGGAGAUUAAUCAGUAACUCCAAGAUCUCAUCUCUAACGGUAGUGCAAUUUGGAGAAGAACUUUUGCCCUUAAUGAGAUUUGCAAUCCCCAAACAGAGAAUACCCACCUAAUAAGACAGCUGCCUGUUUAUGUCUCGCUUCCCAGAGAAAAGGAGAGCUGCCCCUAUGUUGCUGCAUGUAGAAAAAGAUGGUCAGGACCUGAACACCCCAUUGUGCUACAGGGAGUGGAGCCUCAAAACUUGGUGAGCUGGCCUUGAGUCAGAGUGCUAGGCACCUUUGCUGCAGCUGUACCCUUCCUAUCAGGGGGCUGAGAGAGAGACAGAGACAGGAUCUUCUCAGGCAUGCAAAAACUUCAAAAUCCCUAGACUCUCCUUGCAGUGGAGAUGCAGACAAAGUAUGCCCCCAGCAGAAUGGGAAGUGCAACACUGGGGGUGUUGGAUGUGAAGGUGAGAGAUGGAAGCUGAUGACUUCUGGCAUACAGAGCCUGGUGUCUCCUGUCUCCUGCUCCACCUGAAGGCCUUCAACUACAGAAGUGGUUCACUGCUCUCAAGGCUGAGGAUGUGCCCUGUGUGCUUUCAAGGGAGGUGUUUGACCUAUUGCCCCUGAGGCAUGCAAGAUGACCACGAGGAAGAUGCAAAUGGCAAUAGUGGGCAGCUCCCUUCAUCUGGGGGUGCAGAAAGCUAGCUGACAACCUGACCUGUCACAUAUAGAAGUUCAUUGCUUGUUAGGCGUCCAGAUAUGGGAUGCCGUAGAGAGACUGCCAAGACUUCUUUGACCCUCUAAAU
rnacentral:lncRNA from 1 species